GUGGAAAAUGGUGUUUCAUAAAGAAAGUAUGCAGCCUGAAUGGAGAAUGUUUUAUGUACGAACCAGUCCACAAGGGAUAUUAGUGUAUAGCAUACUUCAAUAUCGCCAUCUCCCGACUUCUAGGUCUCUAAGCAAUGAUGCCACCGCUGCUGAUUCCUUGCCUCUCAACCAGAGAAAUACCUGGCUGACUACAGUGGAGUUGCAGGCCAAUGACGUCACCAGGCGAUGUUCCCACAUCUGAGCAGAGGAUCCAAUACGACAAACCAUGCAGCAGAUCCCCAAUGGUACAAAAAUAAUCCAACUGGUAACUCUGAAUUGGACUACUGGUUUCUGUCAAAACACCCACACUGUGAUUGAAAGUGACCUUGUGAAAAUCCUAGAUAUGGAACAGCUUGGAUGUCAUCAGUCUUUGGGCAAGUCAUGAUGAGGUUAAAUCUCUUGCUCCUUCCCUCUGCCUCUCCUGGCCUCUUCUCUGUCACUUCUCCCCUCCUCUCCUCGUAUCUCCUCUACAGCACGUGGAUAUUGCGGCCUUCUUGAUCAAGUUCUAAUGAAGUGGUCAGUAUUCUCUGAUGAUUCUCAACUCAACAUAAGCAAGAGAGCUCUCCUAUGUUUUUUUGCUCAUAAUGGUAGAUGUGGAUGUAUUUAUUCUGUAUCUUUCUAGUUGCACAACUAAGUGUCUGAUUUACAAUGACAUAGUCUGCUCACUACAAUCCUCAU